GGGGUUCCAUUUUUAUCCAUUCUGAGUGCAACUGAAGCAAAAAGAUUCAAUUUUGUUGUUGUUGUAAAGAUCUAAUCUGGAAGAUCUGGAGAAAUGGGUUCGAUCCCAGCCGAAUUGAGCUUAGAUUGUAGACCUAGUUUUAUUCCCAAAUCUAUUACUGAUUUUCUUCGACAACUUUCUUUGAUCCGUAAUGUUCCUGAUAAACUAUCACAGAUUGACGAUUAUAUCACCAGACUUGAAGAUGAAAUGAGGAAAAUCGAUGCCUUCAAACGAGAGCUUCCUCUUUCUGUUCUUCUUGUUAAAGAUGCUAUUGUAGCUUUGAGAGAAGAAUCAAUGCAAUAUAGAAAAUCGAGAACAGAACCAGUAUUGGAAGAAUUUAUUCCACUGAAGAAGAGUUCCCGUGAAGAUACUAAAGCUGAAAUUACUAAAGAUAAGGAUAGUAGAGAAAAGAUGAGCUGGAUGAGCUCUGUGCAGCUUUGGAACAGUGAAUCUCACUGCGAAAAUACUGAUGAAGCGAUUAAUAAACAACAAUCUAAAUCAGAAUUGAAGGUGGAUACUCAGAGAUCCCCUGAAGAAGGAAAUAGUUCAGUAACUGAAGAUCCAUUCCAAUCUUGUAAAACCAUGAAUGCAGCGAAGGCAUUUUCAGUACCUUUCAAGGGGUAUUCUGGUUUCUCAGUGACAGCAGUUAGGAAGGACAAUAAAGAUGAACUGCCAGGACUAUCACUUCAUACUCCUGGAAUUACGAAGCUGAGGGAGGAUACUGUGACUAGUGGUUUGAAUUCGAAACACAGUGGUAGCAGAGGUGGAUUAUCUAGUGUAGCUGGUUGCCAAUCAAAUAUGAGGACUGGAUCAUUGGCUCAGCAGCAGUCUUCGAGAAAGCAAAGAAGAUGCUGGUCACCAGAAUUGCAUCGGCAAUUUGUUGAUGCAUUACAACAACUUGGUGGUUCACAAGUUGCAACUCCUAAGCAGAUUAGAGAGCUCAUGCAAGUGGAUGGCCUAACCAAUGAUGAAGUGAAGAGUCAUUUG
rnacentral:misc_RNA from 1 species